rnacentral:ncRNA from 1 species
GGAAGAGAAUUAGCAUUUCUUAAUGCAUCGGUCUGUACACAGCAAUGUUCUGCCAUGGAAGGCAGAACAAAUCCUAACGUGCCAUGGAUGGUACGUUUAGGAUGGUUGCGUCAUCCAGAUCACAUAUUAAAUCAGAUGCAUUUAGAAAUACUUAUUCUCGGA